UUGACUCUCUCUGCUUGGCUUAUUUCACUAAGCAGACAAAGUAUUUUAAAACAGAUGAUUUCUAACAGGAGACCAUGAGCAUUUGAGCUCCUCAAGGUGACAUUUAAAGCCUGCCUUUUUUUCCCCCCCUAAACAAAAACAACUACGAAGAUAGGUAGGUUUGGGUAUUCUUAAGGCCCACGUACCUGAGACUUUGGAGCACAAACUUUCCUAAUAUUUUUUCCUGGGGACAGCAUCUCUUCUCUGAACUCCAGCCACAGGGUUCACCAAAUAGGAUGAAAGAAUUGAAAGUGACCCAUGAAUUCAGCUGGUCCAAACUCCUCACAUUACAGAGGAAGAGAGAAAAACCAGAACUACAAAGGGCUGUGAGGGCAGAAACGAGCCUUAGUCACCCCCUCCUUUUACUCAGAGGUCUCUGUCUUGACACCUCUCCACCCCAGGGUCUUCAGUAACUUGUGACAGAAGUGGAGCUAGAAUUUGAGUCUCCCUAUUCAAGUUCAGUGCUUUUCCCCCACAAGGAGCUAGUUCCAUGCUUUCUCCGUAGCCUGUAAGCCAGGCCAGAACUCACUGGCAGGAAGAAGAAUGAAAUAAGUGUAAUGAUUCUAUAGAGGGCAUGGUGACCUUCCACAAAUCAUGUUCCCACCAGUCUGUCACUGAUGCUUGACCUUCCACCAUUAGAGAUUCAUUCUUUUGUAACUUGGAGGUGAGGUAGACUUCCAGAGUCUCCUCUUGAAAUGUAAAUACCUCUGGGAAGGCCACCAACAGUUGAUAGCUAAGAAACUGCCAGGCCUGUUUCUCCAAGAGCGUUAAUAACCAACAGUGUGGAGGGGAAGCAGAGGCAGAGAGAUUUCAGAAUUCACUGAAAUAGGAGGACGAAGUUGGGAUGGAUGUGAGAAUGAGUCCACCCUUUUGUAGGCAUUCCAUAAAUGCUAUUUACCUAUCCAAUUAAAUAUGUAAGAACAUGGCCCAGACACGUUGGUGAAAAAUUCCCUUCUCAAGGCAUGAACAAAUGUUUGGAAUCCCAAAGGGAAAGACUGUGCUGCCCACACCCUUCUGCCAUCAGAGGGUGUCCAGGUUAGGGCUUUCUGUGUAAUGGGUAUUGAGACUUAGUUGAAACCAGACCCCCACCUCUACUUCAAGGCUUCAUUUGCAUGAGCGGACCUCCAUGGAUACUUUUGUUUAUGGCUGAAGAAAAGAGGAGUUUGUACUACUCUUCUGUGGGUAGAAGACAAGGGAUGAAGAAACUGAACAAGAGAGGGGAUGGUAUGUCAUCCGGCUACCCUGACACUGGCCUUUGUGCCCUUGUAGAACAAUGGAAGAGUUCAGACCGGAAGCAGAGGGGCAGUUUCUCCAAGAGGCUUGAUGAGACACAAAAUGCAAAGAGUGGGUUUGGGGGCUCAGUGAAUCUACUCCUGCAUUUCAUGACAUCCGGAAGUUGCUGGGUAUGCUGGAAGAUAACAGUCCUGGUGCAGCUGUCAGCAUCCUCAUGAGGGAUGUUGUCGACAUGGGCAACGGCAAGUCUCCUAAGAGCCCCCUCAAAGUCAGUGAAUAUGCGCUAAGGGAAGCCAGAAAUGCAGAAGAAAGAGGAGGAAGAGACUCAAUAUGGGAAAUUAAGGACUCCAAGAAGUGAAGCCAUGUGCCCAAAGUCAGAGUUAAAAUGUAAGAAUGUGGACUGAAAACCAGGUCUGUGAGGCUCUGAGGUCUGGGCUCCUUCCACUGGUAGAGUCAGAAAGACAUGGGCUCUGAGCAGUCUUCAACCCCUUACCAGGUAAAUUAACCAUAGAGUGGACUCGUCCUGGUAAGAUGAAGACUGUGGCUGCUUCUCCAGCAACUCAGCUCACUGCUUUCUGGACCAUCAUCUGUGACCACUACUGUGUACUGUGAGACGGAAUGUUAAUUGGAAUACGUUUCGGAGCCAAGAAUCAUUAGACAGGUAGAAAUUCUAUUUGAGUGUACCUGGAUACAUAAAAUCACUCAAAGAGAAGUGAUUUUUGGAUAAUCUGCUGAUUUGCCACAUUCAGGCGUCGAUAUGGACCAUUGAGACUUGAUGGGGUUUUGCUGACUACAAUCUGAGAGCCUGUGUUGCCACGAAAUUCACUGGUACAGGCAUCUGGGUGGCUCAGUCGCUUAAGCACCCACCUUCAGCUCAGGUCA